GGAGGUGGGCGGAGGAUCGCCGGCGGGCCACCAGGGCCCGCGGGAGGAAAGUCCGGGCUCCGCAGGGCGAGGGAGGUCGUUAACGGCGACCCGGGGUGACCCGAGGGAAAGUGCCGCAGAAACGAUACCGCCCGUCCCAUUCAACCGAGCGCCUCUCUGAGAGGGGAGCCGCUCGGGGGCCGGGUAAGGGUGAAAUCGUGGGGUAAGAGCCCACGCGCGACUGCCGGGUGACCGGCGGCGGAGGCAAACCCCUCCCGGAGCAAGCUCGAAUAGGGACGCCGCUGAGAGCGGCCCGCUCGAAGGCCCGCAAGGGCCUCGGCGUCCGGGUGAGAGUGCUCGAGCGGCGCAGCAAUGCGUCGCCUAGAUGAAUGAUCCUCGCUCGCAUCGGGGCAACCCGGCGCGAGAACAGGACCCGGCUUACAGCCCACUUCGGGGA
rnacentral:RNase_P_RNA from 1 species